rnacentral:lncRNA from 1 species
CGAGGGAUACGGGUUGGGGGUGUUACAAUUUUAGUAUGUUUCUUUUUAGGUAACUAGCAACCCUAGGGCAGAGCGUGACAAGAGCUCGAUUCAUAAGACGCAUUAUCCUUAAUAUUGUUAAGUUAGAAAUUAUUACCUUGUGGACUGUUUUAUUCAGAAUUUUUAGGGCUGUUUUGAUUUUUGAUUUAUUCUUUGCUUUGGGACAAUUUAAGCAGAGUAUGGGGUGUUACAAACAUGUACCCA